AAAAGACUGAAGCCUUUCUUAUAACAAAGGUAUUUAUUUCUUGUCUUCCUCAGGAUUACAUUUGGACAGCUGAGGUUCUGACAGGAGCAACGACUUAUAUACAGAGGAGGCGGGGCAAAAGGUUCGUUCUGCGCAUGCUCAGUCCUCAUUCUUCCCCAGCAGUCGACGAGGGAGGAUCCUGUGCCUGCAGCUCCCGGGAUGAAGUCCCAGUCGGCCUUCUGUUCUUUGGCUUUGUUUCCAGAGGGCCUCUGGUGACUGAAGAAUGCCCGGGAUGCUGUCCUGCUGGUCGGGAAGUCUCCGAAGUUGCAGCGAUCGAAGAAAAAUCCACCGGAGGCUUGUCGGCCAUGAUCUUCGAUGCGGUCAGGAAGCGGAGCUCGAAGCAGGCCGUCAUUGGCGAUGAAGUCGGGUCGCUCAGCAAGGUGUUCUUCAGCAGGAUUACAUUUGGACAGCUGAGGUUCUGACAGGAGCAACGACUUAUAUACAGAGGAGGCAGGGCAAAAGGUAAGUAGGAACCAAUGAAAAGGAUCAUAAUGACAUCACACAAUAACAUAUAUACAAAUAUACAUAUUUACAGAGAACAAGUUAGGUAUUUUCAAUUGUAACACAAUUAAAGCUGGACUUUUGGCUAAACUCUUUAAGUCUUCAUAUCCCAAGUUCCCAAAUGACCACUUAGGA